UACGAAGGGUGCAAACGUUGCUCGGAAUUAUUGGGCGUAAAGCGCACGUAGGCGGCUUAGCAAGUCGGAAGUGAAAGCCCUCGCUCAACCGAGGAAGUGCGCCCGAAACUGCAGAGCUUGAGUGCCGGAGAGGGUGGCGGAAUUCCCCCAAGUAGAGGUGAAAUUCGUAGAUAUGGGGGAGGAACACCAGUGGCGAAGGCGGCCACCUGGACGGUUACUGACGCUGAGACGCGAAAGCGUGGGGAGCAAACAGG
rnacentral:rRNA from 1 species